AAGUCGUAACAAGGUUUCCGUAGGUGAACCUGCGGAAGGAUCAUUAUCGAAUAAAUUUGGUUGGGUUGUUGCUGGCUUUUCGAAGCAUGUGCACACCUAGCGCCAUUUUUACCACCUGUGCACCUUUUGUAGACCUGGAUACCUCUCGAGGAAACUCGGUUUUGAGGACUGCUGUGCGAAAAGCUGGCUUUUCUUGCAUUUCCGGUCUAUGUUUUCAUAUACCCCAUAAGAAUGUAAUAGAAUGUUGUUACUGGCCUUUUGUGCCUUUAAUCAAAUAUAACUUUCAGCAACGGAUCUCUUGGCUCUC
rnacentral:misc_RNA from 1 species